UAAUAUUUAACAAUUCUUAAUACAAUUAUUCUGCAGAAAUACAAUUUGCAUUUAACCAAACAAACUGUCAACACAUUAUUUAUUAUCAGUGAGAUUGACAUGGCAACCAUCCUAAUUACAAAAAAAUUUAUCCUGUGAGAAGUUCCUACUUUAUGAAUUGAAACGAAUUGAAACGAAAACUGCACUUUCUACAGCUCUGUAGAGCUUCGAAAGUAGCCAAUGGCAGACGAGAUCUCACUUGUCCACUUUUUACCCGCUACAUAAUCAAUUUUCUUUUCUAGGGAAGAAAGUUGAUGACGUAGCGGGAGGAAAGAAAAUCUGGACGUUCUGAUUGGUUAGUUAGAUAGCCAUCUAUAUGCCCUCUGUAGUGGGAAGACGAAACUAUCAACUUAACCUCUAUUUUUCACCGGCCGACGUUUCUAAUGUUUAUGUGCUUACAUAUAACGAACACAUUUAUCAUUUAGCCAUUUGUGGAUUAUUUUAAGUGUUUACUUCUUUUAAAUUCAAUGUCGCAGUGUACACCGCCAGAAUUAUCUGAAGCGGCAAAAUAUGCUGUUUCGCAGUUAUUGUCAGAAAAAUCUAAAGAGCGGUAUAUUACAUAGUACAAAGCUUUGGACAACUGGAAAUUGAAAAAUAAAGUACAUAUAAUUUCUGAAAAUAUAUUGCUAGCUUAUUUUAACGAAUUGGCAAUGACAUUAAAGCCAAGCACACUAUGGAGUCAUUAGUCAAUGCUUAAAACUACAAUAUCGACUAACAACAAUAUUAAUAUUAAUGAGUAUUCUAAAUUAAUUGCUUUUUAAAAACGAAAGUCAAGCGGUUUCAAGAGCAAAAAAUCAAAAAUUUUAACAGCGGAUGAAAUUGCAAAAGUCUUAAAUGAAGCACCGGAUAGUGAAUUUCUCUUAACAAAGGUUGUUUUGAUUUUUAGUAUAGCAGGUGCGUGCAGAGGUGGCGAAUUAACCUCUAUAAAAGUGAGUUACAUUGAAAAUAGAGACAAUCUACUAUUAAUCCACAUUUCGGAUACGAAAUCUAAAAUUUCUCGAUCAUAUACGAUCGAUGGUAAAUUUGCGGAAAUCGUAAUGAAAUAUGCCGUCAUACGUCCCAAAAACAUAGACAGAUCGCUUUUUUUAAAUUUUCAAAAAGGCAAAUGCACAAGCCAAGUUGUGGGCAAAUUAUAAAUUUGCAAAAAUGCCGAAGGAAAUUGCCGAAUAUCUCAAUUUACCUGAUGCAGAUUCAUCCACUGGCCACAGUUUCCGUCGGAGUUCAGCAACUCUAUUCGCGGAUUCAGGUGCUGACAUGAAUACGAUUAUGCGCCACGGAGGAUGAUUCAUUGAAAAUUCUGUAAUUAAUAAGCGGAAUAUCGGCAAUCUUAUUACUAAUCUAAUAAAACUGUCUCCAAUGUCAAGUAAACAUGGACCUUCUACCUCAAAAUCACAAAAAAUGAACAAUAAAAUCGACAAAAAUGCUUCGAAAUCUUUGGAAAGCAAUCAAGAACCUCUCAGAACUGAAAUAUCACCAGCCAUUGAAGCUGAUGUACCUUCAAGUCUGAUAAUUGAGAGUAACUCUCAAAAUUUUAAAAUAACCGAAAAUAAAAGUAAUCCUAUUUUUCAAUUUAAUAAUUGCAAUGUCACUAUUCAAUA